rnacentral:rRNA from 1 species
CCUACGGGCGGCAGCAGUGGGGAAUAUUGGACAAUGGGCGAAAGCCUGAUCCAGCCAUGCCGCGUGUGUGAAGAAGGCCUUCGGGUUGUAAAGCACUUUCAGUGGGGAAGAAAGCCUUGGGGCUAAUACCCUCGAGGAAGGACAUCACCCACAGAAGAAGCACCGGCUAACUCCGUGCCAGCAGCCGCGGUAAUACGGAGGGUGCGAGCGUUAAUCGGAAUUACUGGGCGUAAAGCGCGCGUAGGCGGUCUGAUAAGCCGGUUGUGAAAGCCCCGGGCUCAACCUGGGAACGGCAUCCGGAACUGUCAGGCUAGAGGGCAGGAGAGGAAGGUAGAAAUCCCGGUGUAGCGGUGAAAUGCGUAGAGAUCGGGAGGAAUACCAGUGGCGAAGGCGGUCUUCUGGACUGACACUGACGCUGAGGUGCGAAAGCGUGGGUAGCAAACAGGAUUAGAUACCCGUGUAGUC